CAGUAGCCGCGGGAAUACGUAGGCAGCAAGCGUUGUUCGGAGUUACUGGGCGUAAAGGGUGUGUAGGCGGUUGCCUAAGUUUGGUGUGAAAUCUCUGGGCUCAACCCAGAGUCUGCAUGGGAAACUGUCGAGCUUGAGUAUGGGAGAGGUGAGUGGAAUUUCCGGUGUAGCGGUGAAAUGCGUAGAUAUCGGAAGGAACACCUGUGGCGAAAGCGGCUCACUGGACCAUUACUGACGCUGAUGCGCGAAAGCUAGGGGAGCAAACAGGAUUAGAUACCCGCGUAGUCCCUGUCUCUUAUAC
rnacentral:rRNA from 1 species